rnacentral:rRNA from 1 species
AGUCACUGACAUUAGAUACCCCCGUAGUCCAGGGUGUAAACGCCGCAGACUUGGUGUUGGAAAUCCUUCGAGGGUAUUCAGUGCCGGAGAGAAGUUGUUAAGUCUGCUACUUGGGGAGUACGUCCGCAAGGAUGAAACUUAAAGGAAUUGGCGGGGGAGCACCGCAACGGGAGGAGCGUGCGGUUUAAUUGGAUUCAACACCGGAAAACUCACCAGGGGAGACUGUUACAUGAAACCCAGACUAAUGAUCUUGGUUGAUUUUCAG